UCCAGGUUGUUCCGGGGGGAUUGUCCCUGUAAUAAGUGCUCUGUAUAAUACAUUGGUACUCAGAAGGUUGCUGGUUUGAUCCCCACAGUCACCACCAUUGUGUCCUUGAGUAAGACACUUAACUCCAGGUUGCUCCGGGGGGAUUGUCCCUGUAAUAAGUGCUCUGUAUAAUACAUUGGUACUCAGAAGGUUGCUGGUUUGAUCCCCACAGUCACCACCAUUGUGUCCUUGAGUAAGGCACUUAACUCCAGGUUGCUCCGGGGGGAUUGUCCCUGUAAUAAGUGCUCUGUAUAAUACAUUGGUACUCAGGAGGUUGCUGGUUUGAUCCCCACAGUCACCACCAUUGUGUCCUUGAGUAAGGCACUUAACUCCAGGUUGCUCCGGGGGGAUUGUCCCUGUAAUAAGUGCUCUGUAUAAUACAUUGGUACUCAGAAGGUUGCUGGUUUGAUCCCCACAGUCACCACCAUUGUGUCCUUGAGUAAGACACUUAACUCCAGGUUGCUCCGGGGGGAUUGUCCCUGUAAUAAGUGCUCUGUAUAAUACAUUGGUACUCAGAAGGUUGCUGGUUUGAUCCCCACAGUCACCACCAUUGUGUCCUUGAGUAAGACACUUAACUCCAGGUUGCUCCGGGGGGAUUGUCCCUGUAAUAAGUGCUCUGUAUAAUACAUUGGUACUCAGAAGGUUGCUGGUUCGAUCCCCACAGUCACCACCAUUGUGUCCUUGAGUAAGACACUUAACUCCAG